rnacentral:rRNA from 1 species
UACGAAGGGGGCUAGCGUUGUUCGGAAUUACUGGGCGUAAAGAGCUCGUAGGCGGUUUGUCGCGUCGGCCGUGAAAUCUCCACGCUUAACGUGGAGCGUGCGGUCGAUACGGGCAGACUUGAGUUCGGUAGGGGAGACUGGAAUUCCUGGUGUAGCGGUGAAAUGCGCAGAUAUCAGGAGGAACACCGGUGGCGAAGGCGGGUCUCUGGGCCGAUACUGACGCUGAGGAGCGAAAGCGUGGGGAGCGAACAGG